UACAAAGGGGGGCUAGCGUUGUUCGGAUUUACUGGGCGUAAAGCGCACGUAGGCGGAUUGUUAAGUCGGGGGUGAAAUCCUGGAGCUCAACUCCAGAAUUGCCUUCGAUACUGGCUUUCUAGAGGCUGGAAGAGGUUAGUGGAAUUCCCAGUGUAGAGGUGAAAUUCGUAGAUAUUGGGAAGAACACCAGUGGCGAAGGCGGCUAACUGGUCCAGAUCUGACGCUGAGGUGCGAAAGCGUGGGAGCAAACAGGG
rnacentral:rRNA from 1 species